rnacentral:misc_RNA from 1 species
UUAAGUUCAGCGGGUAAUCCUACCUGAUUUGAGGUCAAGAGGUUCAUUAAGUGUUGUCCGAUAAUGGACGAUUAGCAGCUGAACAAACUAGAGAGCAAUCAUCACAGUGUAGAUAAUUAUCACACUAGUGACGGGACUGCAAACGGUUCCGCUAAUGCAUUUUAGGAGAGCUGACCUCUAUAAGGCCCGCAAACUCCCAA